rnacentral:tRNA from 1 species
GAAAGGCUGUGGCUCAGUGGUAGAGCGUCUGCUUGCCUUGCAGAAGGUCCCAGGUUCCAUCCCCAUCAUCUUCA